rnacentral:lncRNA from 1 species
AAACUCCCAUGCAUUGUUACGGAGAAGAAAAUCAUCACCAAAAUGCAACUUUCUCAUUUCUUAUUUGAACCAAAGCACCUCUUGUUCCACUAUGAACUAUCAUUUCACACAAGUACUAACAAAACCUAGUUUAGUGUUACAAUAAAAUGGAAUCAAAGUUCUAAUGGAAUAUUCAUUCAUAUCUACUUUCUUAUGAUUUUCCAUGUGCAGUAACAAAACCUAAUACUUGCAAAAAAUUAUAGUACUGAUCAAUUGGCAUAUAAUCAGAAAAAGCAUUUUUGUACCCCUUGCACAUAUUUGAGUCAAAAGAUGACACCACGAUACUUAUCCAACACAGCGGUGAAGACACAUAAUCUAGUUCACCAAAUAUCUGCAUAAAAAACAUUGUGAUGGUUCCGGUGAUUUGGUCUUUGGGCCCAAUACAUCCGAGGGAGGGCUAAUGGCUUCAGAGUUUUGAGUUCCAACCUGCUCAAAGGGAAAACAUAUCGAUCAUUGAAUGGGCCCUAAGUUGGCACCAAACAGAAUUAAUAAUUACCUAGGCAGUAAGACAUAUUUAAAUUAAUGGAAGUUGAACCGGAAGAGGGAAAAAUGACCUAAAUAUAAGUCAAAGGAAACGAACAAUUUCGCCUUGCCUAUAGACACAAUAUUUAACAUUGCAUGGUCAUAUUAGUGACCAUGCAAAUUUCUUGAUUUUAAAAGCUCUACCAUCCUAAAAACCUAUAGGCAACCCACUUCAAAUAAAUGUGAAUUCCACAGGAGAAUGUGUGAAGUCAUUACAACUUGAGUAUGCUCAUCAAUACUGUUUUUUUAUUUGAUCACCAAACAUUUGAACGGAGUACAAGGAAAAUCAAGAAUGAGACAUCAAGGAUAAGAAUGAAACCUCUUGGGAAAUCGAGUUUGCUGCAUCCUUAGGGCAAAUUUCAGAAGCCAUAAACCUUGAGAAUUGUAAUGGGAUUCAGAGUUUUGCAUUCCAACCUGCUCAAAUAACAGCAGUAAUUAAGAGACGGUGAACAUUCAAAUGUUAAGAAUCGUAUAACAAAUCUCUACUACUUCAGCAUAGAUCACGAAUGUUAAGAGGGAAACAUGAAGUCAAAUUGAGAGCAGAUCAUGUGUGCACCAAUGCUUGUGUGCUUUUUGUUCAUUUGUCUGACUAAGUUUGAUUGUAAAUGUCAAACAGCUCCUUGAGAACAUGUAGAGGUAUCACUGAUAUGGUGAAAAAGUAAACAGAGAAAUCGCCAACGUAGUUUUAUCACCUGUGAACUUGCUCAGCUCGUGCGCGGCCAGGAUAGGACAGUACCUACACGUACGUGAGAGCCUUGUGGGGGUGAACUCAGGAAAUAUUGGCUGCUACCAUCAGAGAAGGCAUUCAGUUAUACUGGUGAAGACUGGCUUAAAAUUUGCACUCGACGUGUGAUGAUACAGGCCGAGCAAGAGUCUUAAUGUUAAUCUGGAGAGCACGAUACUUACGUGAUAAUUGUGUACACGAGGAGGGGAAAGCCUCGGUGUCUGCUUCAGUUAAUUUCUUUAUUAGAUACGAAAAUGAACUACGGCAGUGCACUAGGACUGAGGACAACAAAAAAGGAAAAUCAAACCUGUUCCCUAAUCAGGGGGCCACGCCACUUGAUCCUGAACCCAACCACUGGUUGCCACCUGUUGACUACUGGAAGCUUAAUACGCUUCCUUCCUUGCUGAUACUGGUGAUGCUAGCGGGAAUGAGGGAUUGCUGCAAGAGAUGCACUGGCGCGCGCUUAGGGAGCAGAAGCCGAUGCAAUAGGGUUUGGAUUGGGUGAGCUAGCAAAACGAUACAGAGGUGGAUUAAUCAUAUUGUAAAUCAUUAUUUACUCUGCUGCAACCUGGGACUCCCAACAUUUCAGCCAUCCACCACUCUGUUGCUGACAUUAGAGUGCUAGUUAAUCUCUUCCAAUCAGUGAACAUCUCUGUGAUCAGAAGGGGUCGCAACGCGCUGGCACAUGGCCUGGCAGCGCAUGCAAGGAAUACAUCAACGCUUGCUGGGGUACCCACCCAACUGUUUCAUUUACUUAUGACCGAUUGUAAUCAGCAGGAAGGCAGUUUAUACGCCUAUGACUUUCUCAAAAAGAAAAGGUAUGUGUUCACCCUCGGAUCAGUCGCACAGCAGAUGGCCGCGCCGCCGCCCAGCCGCGGACGGCGAACUCUCAUUCCACACAGCCGCAGAUCAGCCGCUUGCGCCGCAUACCAGACUGCCAUGUUGCUGUGCCAAACUCUCCCUCCGACCCUCCAUCUCAACUAAUCUCAUCUAAACACUUCCAUGGCUCCACGAACCUUCUCAUCUUCCUCCUCGAGGUCUUUUCCUCUCAGAUCCAGAGGAAACACUGAGCAGAACAAACGGCCGCCAGAGGAUACAUAGUAGCGCACGGAUAGAUUGGUCCAAGUGGAGCUCCAUCUAGAGCUUCACAACGGUAGGGAAUUGAAGUCCGGUGGGUAGCCUGGGGGCGGCGACCUGCUCGACCAGGACGAUCCAGUCCGGCCGCAUCGUCCCACCUUCGUCACACCUCACCGUCACAGACUCCCGCUCGUCAGCCUCACCGUCACAGACUCGCGCUCGUCGGCCACACCAACGCACAGAGGUAUGUACUACAACCCACACGGAGAUAUCAGCCGCCAUCGACGUGACCUCUUCACCUCAAAUAGCCGGAGGAGUGACAUUGAGAUUAAAGAAGGGAAUCCUACAAAGUGAAGAAUUUGGAUCCAAACCUCACAUGCGCUUCGUCCGACGUGCGGUAUUGGGAUCCCGUGUGAUGAGAGGGGUCUGUGGGCGACGGCGGUCGUGGACUCCAUGAGGAAAUAAAAUUGGGAAGAACGAAGGGACUGGGGCGUGGUGUUUUUC